rnacentral:rRNA from 1 species
AGUGAACGCUGGCGGUAGGCCUAACACAUGCAAGUCGAACGGCAGCACAGUAAAAGCUUGCUCUUACGGGUGGCGAGUGGCGGACGGGUGAGGAAUACAUCGGAAUCUACUUUUUCGUGGGGGGUAACGUAGGGAAACUUACGCUAAUACCGCAUACGACCUACGGGUGAAAGCAGGGGAUCUUCGGACCUUGCGCGAUUGAAUGAGCCGAUGUCGGAUUAGCUAGUUGGCGGGGUAAAGGCCCACCAAGGCGACGAUCCGUAGCUGGUCUGAGAGGAUGAUCAGCCACACUGGAACUGAGGCACGGUCCAGACUCCUACGGGAGGCAGCAGUGGGGAAUAUUGGACAAUGGGCGCAAGCCUGAUCCAGCCAUACCGCGUGGGUGAAGAAGGCCUUCGGGUUGUAAAGCCCUUUUGUUGGGAAAGAAAAGCAGCAGGUUAAUACCCCGCUGUUCUGACGGUACCCAAAGAAUAAGCACCGGCUAACUUCGUG